UAUGUGAAAUGGUCUCUUCAACGCAAUCGCUCGAUGUUAAACUUCAUCAACCAGCACAAAAGAUACUUGAGAACCGAAUAAUCACAAUCAAUACCCACAAAACACAACCAUUCAAAAAAAGUGCAAAAUCCAAAGUAACAUGUUCAAGAGGAAAACAGAGAAAGGGGAGAAAACCCAGAUAUCGAAUCAAAUAGUCGAGAAAAACAGAGAUAAAUAUGACUAAAAAUGGAGCAGCGUGGCACUCACAUUAAAGAGAGAGGUAAAGAUUUG
rnacentral:misc_RNA from 1 species